rnacentral:rRNA from 1 species
GGGUUGUGAGGUUAAGCGACUAAGCGUACACGGUGGAUGCCCUGGCAGUCAGAGGCGAUGAAGGGCGUGCUAAUCUGCGAUAAGCGCCGGUAAGGUGAUAUGAACCGUUAUAACCGGCGAUACCCGAAUGGGGAAACCCAGUGUGAUUCGUCACACUAUCAUUAACUGAAUCCAUAGGUUAAUGAGGCGAACCGGGGGAACUGAAACAUCUAAGUACCCCGAGGAAAAGAAAUCAACCGAGAUUCCCCCAGUAGCGGCGAGCGAACGGGGAGGAGCCCAGAGCCUGAAUCAGCAUGUGUGUUAGUGGAAGCGUCUGGAAAGGCGCGCGAUACAGGGUGACAGCCCCGUACACAAAAGCGCAUGUGUUGUGAGCUCGAUGAGUAGGGCGGGACACGUGA